rnacentral:rRNA from 1 species
UACAGAGGGUGCAAGCGUUGUUCGGAAUUAUUGGGCGUAAAGCGCGUGUAGGCGGCUUUGCAAGUCGGGUGUGAAAGCCCUCAGCUCAACUGAGGAAGUGCGCCCGAAACUGCAGAGCUUGAGUACCAGAGAGGGUGGCGGAAUUCCCCAAGUAGAGGUGAAAUUCGUAGAUAUGGGGAGGAACACCGGUGGCGAAGGCGGCCACCUGGCUGGAUACUGACGCUGAGACGCGAAAGCGUGGGGAGCGAACAGG